rnacentral:rRNA from 1 species
AAGGUGCGUGCCGGGCCUACAUCCCGUCGAGCGCCAGAGGGGAUUGCUCCCUGAUGUGCCAGGGACGGACGAGAACUUGUACUAACCUAGCUGAAGACUCGGGAUAACUCCGGGAAACCUGCCUUAAUACCGAUGUUUGUCGAACCGAUGGCACGACAUAAAAGGGUUCGCUAAAGAUGCCCGCGCGUUUAGUGGUGAGGUAACGAUCUCACCAAGGUGGACAUGGAUACCCAACCUGAGGGGGAUCAGGCCACACUGGACUGAGAACACGGCCCAACUCCUACGGGAGGAAGCAGUGGGACUACCUGCGCCCC